GAGGGUAUAGCUCAGCGGCAGAGUGUGUGCUUAGCACGCACGAAGUCCUGGGUUCAAUCCCCAGUGCCUCCA
rnacentral:tRNA from 1 species